GCCGCGGUGCGGGAAAGAAGCUCUUCGGGGUGUANACCGCUGUCAGGAGGGACGAAGGGGCUAUGGGUUAACAGCUCAUAGUCUUGACGGUACCUCCAGAGGAAGGGACGGCUAACUACGUGCCAGCAGCCGCGGUAAUACGUAGGUCCCGAACGUUGCGCGA
rnacentral:rRNA from 1 species